AUUGAACGCUGGCGGCAUGCUUUACACAUGCAAGUCGAACGGCAGCGCGGGCUUCGUCCUGGCGGCGAGUGGCGAACGGGUGAGUAAUACAUCGGAACGUGCCCAGUAGUUGGGGAUAGCUCGGCGAAAGCCGGAUUAAUACCGCAUACGACCUGAGGGUGAAAGCGGGGGAUCUUCGGACCUCGCGCUAUUGGAGCUGCCGAUGGCAGAUUAGCUAGUUGGUUGGGUAAAGGCCUACCAAGGCGACGAUCUGUAGCUGGUCUGAGAGGACGACCAGCCACACUGGGACUGAGACACGGCCCAGACUCCUACGGGAGGCAGCAGUGGGGAAUUUUGGACAAUGGGCGAAAGCCUGAUCCAGCAAUGCCGCGUGUGUGAUGAAGGCCUUCGGGUUGUAAAGCACUUUUGGCGGGAACGAAAAGGACUGUGCCAAUACCACGGUUCGAUGACGGUACCCGCAGAAUAAGCACCGGCUAACUACGUG
rnacentral:rRNA from 1 species